rfam:Neurospora tetrasperma FGSC 2509 unplaced genomic scaffold NETTE2scaffold_5, whole genome shotgun sequence.
GCGGGUUUAGCUCAGUUGGGAGAGCGUCAGACUGAAGUCCACUUCACUCAAUAAAUCUGAAGGUCGUGUGUUCGAUCCACACAAACCGCA